rnacentral:rRNA from 1 species
UACGUAGGGUGCGAGCGUUAAUCGGAAUUACUGGGCGUAAAGCGUGCGCAGGCGGCGCGUUAAGACAGGUGUGAAAGCCCCGAGCUUAACUUGGGAAUUGCGCUUGUGACUGGCGUGCUGGAGUGUGGCAGAGGGAGGUGGAAUUCCACGUGUAGCAGUGAAAUGCGUAGAGAUGUGGAGGAACACCGAUGGCGAAGGCAGCCUCCUGGGCCAGCACUGAUGCUCAUGCACGAAAGCGUGGGGAGCAAACAGG